rnacentral:rRNA from 1 species
UACGUAGGGUGCAAGCGUUGUCCGGAAUUAUUGGGCGUAAAGAGCUCGUAGGCGGUCUGUCGCGUCGGCUGUGAAAACCUGGGGCUCAACUCCAGGCCUGCAGUCGAUACGGGCAGACUAGAGUUCGGUAGGGGAGACUGGAAUUCCUGGUGUAGCGGUGAAAUGCGCAGAUAUCAGGAGGAACACCGGUGGCGAAGGCGGGUCUCUGGGCCGUAACUGACGCUGAGGAGCGAAAGCAUGGGGAGCGAACAGG